rnacentral:lncRNA from 13 species
UAAAGGUUAAUUCUAACUGACACCGGUAAGAGAACAUCAUAUCACGGCUGAAAGGAAUGAUUGAAUGACUGAACUUGUAGAACAUUGUCUAUAACCCAUAUUGCUUAUUUGUUUAGAGCGCAGUCUGAAUUUGUAGGCAGCAGGUGUCCUUAUUGAUUAAUUGUCAAAUGAAACAUAGAAACCCAUAUUUAUUGAUUAAUGAUAAAAGACAGUUGUUCAAAUAUCCUAUCUUCACACGAAGGAAGCUUUGGUUGUUGUUAAAGGACAAUGCUCAUUGAUCAUAAAAUGUUUGAUUCUAAAUUAAUGAAUGAUUAUCAUGUUGAAGCAAUUCUAUUUCAAUUAUGUUUAUUAACAUGUCUAUCAGAGUAUAAGACAGUAGGCCCGGUAUUCAUAAACCUCUCAUGAUGAAUUUCCACCUGAGACUUACUCCACACCAGUGUGUAGCCAAUGUUAAUGUCUAUUGCUGUUUAGUUGUCUGAGGUUGCGGAUCCAAAAGUAGCCACACCGUUCCGCCCCCCCGUUCCGCCCCCAUGCUGUUCGGUGUUGUUUUAGAAUGAUGUUCGGUGAGUGUAUUCUAGAGGCGAUGCUGGUAACAAACUGUAGCACACCACACAGUAGGUGGGGGGAGUUGUGAUGGAAGAUGGGGUGGGUCAUUUUGUGAUUAGAAAAGUGUGGUGAGUUAAAUGUGUGAGCCCAUGUGUGUCUGAGACCAGGAGUUGUGACAGAGAGAGUUUGCAAUUUUGUGCAGAUAUGGGAAAUACAUUUUAAAAUAAAUUACAAAUAUUUUGUAAUCUACACCUCCGUUAGGAUGACAGAUGUAAUCUACACCUCCAGUAGGAUGCUAGAUGUAAUCUACAGGAUGACAGAUGUAAUCUACACCUCCAGUAGGAUGCUAGAUGUAAUCUACAGGAUGCUAGAUGUAAUCUACUCCUCCGUUAGGAUGACAGAUGUAAUCUACACCUCCAGUAGGAUGCUAGAUGUAAUCUACAGGAUGAUAGAUGUAAUCUACACCUCCGUUAGGAUGAUAGAUGUAAUCUACAGGAUGAUAGAUGUAAUCUACAGGAUGAUAGAUGUAAUCUACAGGAUGAUAGAUGUAAUCUACAGGAUGACAGAUGUAAUCUACUCCUCCAUUAGGAUGAUAGAUGUAAUCUACUCCUCCGUUAGGAUGACAGAUGUAAUCUACAGGAUGACAGAUGUAAUCUACUCCUCCAUUAGGAUGACAGAUGUAAUCUACAGGAUGAUAGAUGUAAUCUACAGGAUGAUAGAUGUAAUCUACAGGAUGACAGAUGUAAUCUACUCCUCCGUUAGGAUGACAGAUGUAAUCCACUCCUCCGUUAGGAUGAUAGAUGUAAUCUACAGGAUGACAGGCUUAUGGCCAGCAAAUAAAACAUUAGUGUUGUGAACUAAAAACAACAGACAAUCAUAACGUUCUAGUACACAGUCAAAUACUGAAGACUGGGAUUAAACACAUUGCACAAACAUUAUUUUGUAAACUUCAAGGAGUUCACAGUCAAGGCCAUGGUUGACCAGGUUGAAGUUCUGGCCCUAGGCCUUGAUUUGUUUUCAGUGGUGGAGUUGAUCAGCUCUUCGAGGUAACCCAAAGUGGCAGGAAACCUGUAUAUCCUCAACACGGUCGAUAAGGAUUUUGUACAAAGCUUACAGUAUCCCAGUGAAACUUAAGUCAUACACAGUGCAAAGUGUGUGUGUGUGUGUGUAUGUAUGAGUUUGUGCCUGUGAAGAACUGUGUGUGAUAAUUGGCACUUUAGGAAGUUGAGUAGAACUACCCUGUGACAUUAACUACAUUUUAGUGGUUGUUUUGGCAUGUCUGUAAAUCUAUUGUCACAGCAAAUCUUACGAACAGAUACAAACGUGUACUUGUCUAGAAUGUUACUAGCUCUGUAGGUAUGAAAACAUUAGAUUUUGUUUUUAAACGAGGGCUAGAUUAAAAUCCGGAAGAUCAUCUUUGUAGCGUGUUUGACAUGUAAACGGCAUUUCUGAUUGACCGUGAAUGAUGUCUCCACGAAUGCAGGAACAUUGCCUUUUUAAAAUGUCAACCUCGCUAUAACGUGGACCUUCCAGCGCUCCCGGAUUGAAUCUAGGCGGUAGCCUUGAAAAUCUAUGUCAUGUAAAUUCCAUCCACAUCCAUUCAGAGCUUAUAUGACCCUUCAUACUCCCCAAAAGCAUAGAUUAAUUUGCUUUAAAAAUAUAUAUAUAACCUACAUCUUCUUUCUGUGCCCAAAAGCUAAAGGAAGAACACAUUCCACGUUGCGAAAAGGUAGACAUGGAAGGGCCAGAGUUGUUUUUGGGAUGGAUUGGUUGGGGGGGAGAAGCUGUGGUGGGGGCUGGCUAACUGGUUUCUGAGGGGUUGAGGUGGGUGCUGGCAGGGUUCUGUUAUAAAUGUUAUAGUAGGUAAAUCACAUUACUAGUUUUGAAGAUUUACAGUACCAGUCAAAUGUUUGUACACACCUACUCAUUCAAGGAGUUUUCCUAUUUUAUUUUAUAUACAUAGUAGGAUAAUACUGAAAUAACACAUAUGGAAUCAUGAAGUAACCAAAAGAAAGUUUAAAAUAAAUCAAAAUAAAUUUGAGAUUCUUCAAAGUAGCCACCCUUUGCCUUGAUGACAGCUUUGCACACUCUUGGCAUUCUCUCAACCAGCUUCAUGAGGUAGUCACCUGGAAUGCAUUUCAAUGAACAGGUUUGCCUUCUUAAAAGUUAAUUUAUGGAACUUAUUUCCUUUUAUUAUACACCAGCCCGAGAGGCUCCUAUUUACAUUGACAAGCAUACGAGGAACCUUUUAAUUAUACACCAACCUGCAGUUGUGUUAAUAAGAUGAACAUAUAUCUAUCAGCCAGCUAAGAUACAGCUUGCUAUAUUAGCUCAUUGUCCCAGAGAAAAUAGCUAGGUAAGCAGUUAGUACAAAUAGUAGUUGUACUUGCUAUAACAUGUAACAUUUGCUAGUUAGAUGAUUCAAAACAUUAGCCAACUAGCUAAACAGCCAGCAAAGAUGCAGCUAGCUAGCUAAGAUAUAGCGUGCUAUUUUAGCUCAUUGUUCCAGAGAAAAUAGCUAGCUAAGCAGUUAGUUAAGGUAGUAGCUGUACUUGCUGCAUUAUGUAGUUAGAUAAAAAAAAAAGCAUUAGCUAAAUGGCCAGCCAAUCUACAGCUAGCUAGCAAGCAAGCUAAGUUAGCUCUUUUGAAAAGAUAACUAACCAGCAAAGUAGUUAAACUCAUUUAUAGAGUGCCUUAAGAAAGUACUCCCAUGUGGCGCAGUGGUUUAAGGCACUGCAUCUCAGUGCUAGAGGCGUCACUACAGACCCUGGUUCGAUUCCACAACUUGCAGUGAUUGGGAGUCCCAUAGGGCGGCGCACAAUUGGCCCAGCGUCGUUAGGGUUUGGCCGGGGUAGGCCAUCGUUGUAAAUAAAAUAUUAAAAAGUAUUCAUACCACUUGACUUAUUCCACAUUUUGUUGUGUUACAGCCUGAAUUCAAAAUGGAUAAAAUAGAUUGUAGAAAACUUUUGAAAAAUGAAAUACAGAAAUAUCUAAUUUACAUAAGUAUUCACACCCUUGAGUCAAUACUUUGUAGAAGCACCUUUCACAGCGAUUAGAGCUGUGAGUCUUUUUGGGUAAGUCUCUAAGAGCUUUCCACACCUGGAUUGCGCAACAUUUCCCCAUUAUUAUUUUCAAAAUUCUUCAAGUUGGUUGUUGAUCAUUGCCAGACAAACAUAUCCUACUGUAACUCAGCCACUCAGGAAAUGUCACUCUUCUUGGUAAGCAAUGCCAGUUUAGAUUUGUCCUUGUGUUUAGGUUAUUGUCCUGCUGAAGGGUGGAUUCAUCUCCCAGUGUCUGGUGGAAAGCGGACUGAACCAGGUUUUCCUCUCAGAUUUUGCCUGUGCCUAGCGCCAUUCCAUACAUUUUUGAUCCUGAAAAACUCCCCAGUCCUUAAUAACUUCAAGCAUACCCAUAACAUAAUGCAGCCACCACUAGGCUUAAACAAAUGGAGAGUGGUACUCAGUAAUGUGUUGUAUUGGAUUUGACCCAAACAUAACACUUUGUAUUCAAGACAAAAAGUUAAUUGCAUUGCCACAGUAUUACUUUAGUGCCUUGUUGCGAACAGGAUGCAUGUUUUGGAAUAUUUUUAUUCUGUACAGGCCUACUUCUUUUCACUCUAUCAAUUUGGUUAGUAUUGUUGAGUAACUACAAUGUUGAUCCAUCCCCAGUUUCCUCCUAUCACAGCCAUUCAACUCUUUAACUGGUUUAAAGUCACCAUUGGUCUCAUGGUGAAAUUCCUGAGCGGUUUCUUUCCUCUCCGGCAACUGAGUUAGGAAGGACGCCUGUAUCUUUGUAGUGACUGGGUGUAUUGAUACACCAUCCAAAGUGUAAUUAAUUACUUCACCAUGCUCAACGGGAUAUUCAAUGUCUGCUUUUUUUACCCAUCUACCAAUAGGUGCCCUUAUUUGUGAGGCAUUGGAAAACCUCCCUGGUCUUUGUGGUUGAAUCUGUGUUUGAAAUUCACUAGUCGACUGAGGGAAGUUACAUAUAAUUGUAUGUGUGGGGUACAGAGAUGAGGUAAUCAUUAAACAUUCAUGUCUAACACUAUUUUUGCACACAGUGAAUCCAUGCAACUUAUUAUUUGACUUGUUAAGCACAUUUGUUCUCCUGAACUUAUUUAGGUUUGCCUUAAAAUAAUUAUCUCUUAAGGAUACGCCCCUUUUCCCCCCAUUUUCGCCUAAAAUGAUAUACCCAAAUCUAACUGCCUGUAGCUCAGGCCCUGAAGCAAGGACAUGCAUAUUAUUGGUACCAUUUGAAAGGAAGCACUUUGAAGUUUGUGGAAAUGUGAAAGGAAUGUGGGAGAAUAUAACACGUUAGAUCUGGUAAAAGAUAAAUCCCCCCCCCAAAAAUGAUUUUUUUUGUACCAUCUUUGAAAUGCAGGAGAAAGGACAUAAUGUAUUAUUCCAGCCCAGGUGCAAUUUAGAUGUUGGCCACACUGGCAGCAGUGUAUGUGCAACGUUUUAGACUGAUCCAAUGAACCAUUGUAUUUUUGUUCCAAAUGUUGUAUCAAGACUGCCCAAAUGUGCCUAAUUUGUUUAUGAAUAACUUUUCAUGUUCAAAAUUGUGCACUCUCCUCAAACAAUAGCAUGGUAUUCUUUCACUGUAAAUUGAACAGUGCAGUUAGAUUAACAAGAGUUUAAGCUUUCUGCCAAUAUCAGAUAUGUCUAUGUCUUGGGAUAUGUUCUUGUUACUUACAACCUCAUGCUAAUCGCAUUAGCCUACGUUAGCGCAACCGUCCCCAAAUAGGUUUUUAACAAAGGGGUGGAAUACUUGUCUCAAGACAUUUCACCUUUUCAUUAAUUUUUAAAAACAUAAUUCCACUUCGACAUUAUGGUUUAUUGUGUGUGAUACAAUCUCAAAUUAAUCCAUUUUAAAUUCAGGCUGUAACACAACAAAAUGUGGAAAAAGUCAAGGGGUGUGAAUACUUUCUGAGGGCCAUGCAUGUCAGACUGUAUAAUUUGGAAAUAGUCUUGUCAUUUUAGGGUUUUAUAUAUUAGCCAGUAUAAUAAAAAAUGUGUAUUGCCAUUUUGUGUAAAACAAAAAAUGUUGCUUACCUUAGUGAUGUGCUAACAUUAGCUAGAUAUGUAUAACUAAUCCAAGACACAUCCUGUCAUUUCCAACGGUAGCAAAUGAACCAUAGUGGGAAGAACAAGCAAGGAGGUGGGGAGAGCAAAGCAAGAUUAUAUUGGCGCGUUCUAGAAUGUAUUUGGAUAUUUCCAUAAUGGAACUUCUACUCUGUUAAAUGCCCUCGUGCAAUAACUUAAUUCGCCUUUACACUCCUAAACAACAACGCCAUUUUUUUAAAAACUUUAGCAAAGGGUAAAGUCUACAAAACUUAGUUUUCGUAACAGAUUAUAGUUUAUGGGAAGAGUACUGUUUUGAGAUAAAAUGUUUCGUAGGCCAAAAUCCACCGCGCUCCAUCUUGUCCCACUGCCGGCCUCUGGGCUUCUUCUCAUCACCAUAUUUGGUAGUGAGAGGAAAACGCCAAACGGAUGCUUCAGAUUUAUACGUCCGGUGAAACAUCUGACUCGUUGUUCUGUGUCACUACUGUGGGAAUUAGUUAUUCUUCCGCAAGUGCACGUUUGCUAUUUGAUUGUCUGAUGAGGAAGAAUGAACGGAGUUCCUUAAACAGGCAUUAGCUCCUCCUAGGCAACCUACAAGUCACAAUGGGGUCUUUUUUGAACAAUUUUGCUUAACCAUACCUGUAUGAAAUAUAGUUAUAGUAGUCCCCAAAAUGUCUUCAAAUGUUCAUAGUUAUGUAUACUGAACAAAAAUAUAAACGCA